AACAAUCAUCCUGCUGAACUACAGCCAGCAAAGUAUGCCUAUAAAACUCUCUGCUCUUCAGCAGAAUGACUGAAAAAAUGAAUAAUUUCAUUCAAAAAUGAUUAUACUUAUUUUCAACAAAUAAGUUGCAUGAGGGAAGAUUUCUGCUGCCCUUUGAUAGUGCCAGAAUAUCUUUACACACGGAGCCAUCAGAUUCAGAAGACAGUAAAUGAAGUGCCUUUCUUUCAUGAAGACACAAAACCCCACUGCUUCUUUCAUAAAUCACAUUCAGAAGGGACAUACGUACAUGCCUUAAAGUCUGAAAUUACAGUUUUAGUGAGUAACCUGAAGUUCUUUUUCAAAUCAUGA
rnacentral:lncRNA from 1 species